rnacentral:rRNA from 1 species
CUUUAGCUAAACAAGUAUUAAAGGUCCCGCCUGCCCAGUGAAAUAUUUUAACGGCCGCGGUAUUCUAACCGUGCAAAGGUAGCGUAAUCACUUGUCUUCUAAAUAAAGACUAGUAUGAACGGCUAAAUGAGGACAAAACUGUCUCUUAUGACUAAUCAGUGAAACUGAUCUACCAGUACAAAAGCUGGUAUUACUACAUAAGACGAGAAGACCCUGUGGAGCUUAAAACAAACCACUACCCCAUAAGACCCCUAGUGUACUGUUUUAAGUUGGGGCGACUUCGGAACAAAACAAAACUUCCGAGCAUGGAUCCACCACAUCAAACCAAGGCCUACAAGCCAAAACAAAAACUGACCCGGCCCAAGCCGAUCAACGAACCAAGUUACCCCAGGGAUAACAGCGCUAUCUUCUUCAAGAGUCCAUAUCGACAAGAAGGUUUACGACCUCGAUGUUGGAUCAGGACACCCAGGUGGUGCAGCCGCUACUAAAGGUUCGUUUGUUCAACGAUUAACAGUCCUACGUGAUCUGAGUUCAGACCGGAGAAAUCCAGGUCGGUUUCUAUC